rnacentral:rRNA from 1 species
CCUACGGGAGGCAGCAGUGGGGAAUAUUGCACAAUGGGGGAAACCCUGAUGCAGCGACGCCGCGUGAGUGAAGAAGUAUCUCGGUACGUAAAGCUCUAUCAGCAGGGAAGAAAAUGACGGUACCUGACUAAGAAGCCCCGGCUAACUACGUGCCAGCAGCCGCGGUAAUACGUAGGGGGCAAGCGUUAUCCGGAUUUACUGGGUGUAAAGGGAGCGUAGACGGCAGCACACGUCUGGAGUGAAAUCCCGGGGCUUAACCCCGGAACUGCUUGGGAAACCGUGCGGCUGGAGUGAAGGAGGGGUAAGCGGAAUUCCUAGUGUAGAGGUGAAAUGCGUAGAUAUUAGGAGGAACACCGGGGGCGAAGGCGGCUUACUGGACUGUAACUGACGUUGAGGCUCGAAAGCGUGGGGAGCAAACAGGAUUAGAUACCCCAGUAGUC